GUAUCUUCCUCCAGUGACGAUGCUGAAGCGGUGGUCGCAGAUCUUUUGGCGUACCGGAAAAAACACUGAGAUGACAGAGUGAGAGGCCUAGCUCCUGCUCACCACACCCAACGCACCAAAGAAGAGCCUGCGCCUGGAUGCAGCGAUAAGGAGGUGGUGGGGGGGCAGCGCCAGCACCUCCAUGAUGCACGCCAGUUGCUCAACUUCAUUCUCGCCAGGGAACAGUGGAUAGCCGGUGUACAGCUCUGCCAAGAUGCAGCCUGGUUGGGGCAGGGCAAAGUGGAUUAGGAACUGAUACCUUGGUUUGGGUGCAUAGUGAACCAGCCAUGAAAAGUUGUACCAAAGUUUGAGCACAAUGUUACAUCAGGUUAUGAUAAUGAGAUCCAAUAAAGUGCAUCUACCACCAA